ensembl:lncRNA
GAAAUGCUUCAGGACCGGCAGACGUGCAUGAUUCCCCAGUGACAGCAGGACUACAAAAGCCAUUCACAACAUCCCUGUUGAUUCCACUUUACUUCUUGCUUGCUCAUAAACCUGCAAAAGGAUUAACCAAGAAGUUUCACAGAAAUCGCCACAGUAUUCUUUCUAACCCUUCUCUUGCUGCCCUGGUGCAACCAAAUUCCUAUUGAAAACACUGGAUAUUUGGAGCACACAACACUUCUUCCUAAAGCAGAGGAAAGGGGCAGAAGGGGAAGCCAGAGGUGCUUUGCUUAGCAGCAGAGGUGGUGGAGGCCCGGUGGCAGCGGGGGACGGAACACGGCGGGCACACGGCAGCCCUGUGAGGGACAGCUCCCAUGAAGUCGGAAGCGUAGCUGUGAAGUUGAAAGGAAAAAGGGGAAUGGGAAAAAUUCUACACAUGGAAGCUUAAAAGAAUGGAUAAUCCUUCUGCAGGAAGUAUGUGGAGAUAGGCUUGGUCGCUUCACCUAUCACCUCUGACGAUGCCAAAGGCACUUCCGACUUCAAAGCUUUCUUACAGCUUUGUUUUUCCCUGCUUGCCUGUUACAGUAUUUCUUACCCGUGAAACAGCUCCUCGGUGAUGGAAUCACUGAUCUUUCAGCAGCUUUUCUCACAUGAACUCCCCAACCCGUUUUAUCCCGCUCUUUUCUUCCCCACUGUCUUUAACAAAUAUGUAUCAGAUCUGUGAGCAAAUAAACACUUCCUCUUAAAAUUUACAGCAUAGGCCGUAUUAUCCCAUAACAACCCAAUGGCCAUCUCAAACAUCUUGCACAAAUCAUGACAAGUUAUUUUCAUUUAUUUUUACUACCUGUUUAAUACCGCCGUUAAAAACACAAUGGAAAUUAAACCACAAUAAUCUACGCUCUAGAUCCACAGAGGCAAGGAAAUUAAAAGAGGCUUAAACCCUGAGCUAAUGCUUCAUCCCCAGUUCAUUCUCCUGUGGCUGUAUCCUGAGGUCUCAGCACAAUGAAUCGGUGAAAGGACUCAUCAGUGUGCUGUGGAACCGGUGCAUGAUAAACUGAUAGGGAAUUUAAUGUAGCUCUGAUCAGACACUGGGCCAGAGAUUCCAGUGAUGAGUAAUGCUAGGCAAAGAAUUUACACUUUAACUCAGGCUUUCCCUUCAUUUUUGGCUGCAAUUCAUAUUUCAAGUACUUUUGGGAAAGGAUUCAGCUGAGGCAUCCUAAACAAGGCAAUGAAUGCUGACAGCAGAUUUAAUUGCGUAGGUAUUACUUAAAAAUAGGAGGUCAUAUGUCACUAUGCAAUGCCAAGGUCUGAACCGCUUCUUGUAAAGAUUACUAAAAAUUACUAAGUCCCAUUUAGAAAAGCUGGAGCAUACUAGCCCUGAUAUUGCAGAGGAUGUUUGUACUGAUAAAGGGCUCUCAAGAUCUCAUAAUCCUAUAUUCUAAUGAAGUAAAAAUAUCUUACAUGGUAUUACCAGCAAAUCAAACAUAAACUCAUGCUCCGUGAUACAUUUUUCUCAAGAAGAAAAAGCCUGCUUUUCAAAGUUCUUUUUGAGCCAAGCUUGCUUUUUAGAUUUACUACGAAAUGGAACAUUUUAAAGAGUGGAGAUUCAGAAGAAAUAGAGAAGCAGUAUAUUCUUUCAACUGUAAAUAUCCGUGCUGAAAUGACAAAGGAAAGGAGAAAGUUUGUAUGCAAAAUCACUGAAAAUAAAUUGCUACAUGUGCCGUAUCUCGUAGAACAGUUUUUAUUACAUUUUUGUUCAUUGGAGAUUGCUAUAGAGAUCUCUGCAUUGCAAGUAGCCACACCAUUUCAGUGCUUUGCUGUUUCAGAAGAGCAGAUUUUCUUGAUUAAUAACAAAAGGUUUUGUUGGGAUCAGAGCUGUUUCCCACCAUCUCUAUGCAAACCCGGCAACACAAACUGUGUACAUUAGCAUUUCAAGGAGCCUCCUAUUAAUGAUGGCAAGAAAAGCUCCUCUCGGUGGGUAAAAUCCAUUUUGUCCUCUCUUGUGACAUCUGUUCUAACUUUUAAAGCCAGAAAGGAAACUAGAUAAUGCCAGAGAGUCUUUUGAUUUACUGUAUUGGCACUUGUGAGGAUGCUUCAGACUAUAAAAGCAUGUAACCCUAGUGGACAUACAUGACUGUGUAAAUGUGAACAUCUGCAUAUUCCCACAACAUAGGGUGAAUUGAAGAAGUAAUUCCAAAGUUCUUUGUUAAAUUUUAACCAGCCUUUUUCACUAUUUCAUAAUUAUGCUUUCAAUUACUUCUAUAUCGUAC